UAGUCGGAACUAGAAAACGCGGAAAUGUCAGACUUGCUUACUGGUUGUAGUUAUAUACGUGCCGCGUACAUGGUUACCAAGUGGGUAAAUGUCCGAGUUUCCUAGCUCCGACUAGCACGUGAAAGCGGCAAUAGGCAUAGAUAGGUACAAGGGGCGGAUUGCGUAGCAGAGCAACACGAGCCUGUCGGAAUCGGAGGAGAGCAACACGGGCAAAAUCUUAGAGCAUACAAGUUCAAGGGGGGAGAUUAUUUUAGUUUCCCUUGCGAAAACAAAACAUUGAAACGUGGAUAUUGUUAACUAGGUGCGUGGUGUUGGCGAGCAAGUGGACCACCACCGACUGCACCUUCAGAACUGUAGAUUCAGUAACUGUCACUGCAUCUGCAGGACUUGUCUGAGAGUCUUGGCUGACCCUACGGAGUGUUGCAGUGUGCCCGCCCAGGGAGGGCGCCACCAUGAGGCAGCUGAAGGGGAAGCCCAAGAAGGAGACGUCCAGGGACAAGAAGGAGCGUAAGGCGGCCAUGCAGGAGGCCCGGUCACAGGUGGCCACAGUGGUUCUACCCACGCUGGCUGUGGUGGUGCUGCUCAUCGUAGUCUUCGUUUACGUAGCCACCAUGCCCAGGGCCAUAGAGUAGUGGCUGGUUCCACAUACCUCCCCUUGGCCCUAACCCCUUGAUGUUAGCAUGUCUGUCGGGUCUUAAUAGGUAUAAGCAGUGUCAGCGUUCUCCAACCCUGUUCCUCGAGAGCUACCUUCCUGUAGGUUCACUCCAAACCUACAGGACGGCAGCUGUCCAGGAACAGCGUUGGAGCGAACCUACAGGACGGCAGCUGUCCAGGAACAGCGUUGGAGAGCCCUGAGCAGUGUAGUACUAAAGCGUCCACCAUAUUGCUCCUAUCUAAUAGAUCUCGGCCAAGGGGAAGGGUAGGGGUUGAAUUGGGUCCUGCUCUAGGAUGGCUGGGCCCCGCUGGGGAUGUAUGCCUCAGCCCUGCCUCCAUGAACUGGGUCCCAAUUUACCCAGAGACUUGCUGCACCCAAAGGAUGACCCCCCCUGACUCCCAGCUUAAUGUACUCAUCCCUCAUAUAGCUGUUUUUUUUUUUUUUUUAUUAUUUUUUAUCUUUAUUUAACUAGGCAAGUUUUCAGGUCACUCAUUUCAUCCUCUCACCCACACUUCACUAUCUCCUUGUGUCCUUGGACCUGCCAUUUGUCUUAAUUGAAGCUUCCUGCCAAGUGCCAUUUUGCCAUGAGAGAAUUGAGCUGCAAAACUAUCAAAUUGAAUGGAGAAGUAUUACAGGAGUGGCUUCAUAGGUGCCUUUUUGAUGGAUGAAGAUGUGUGGCAACUAAGACAACCAUGUUAGCUCAAGGGCAGAACUUUUAUCCGCUACAUCUCACUCAUUCUGUA
rnacentral:lncRNA from 1 species